ACUACGAGUUUGAUCCUGGCUCAGGAUGAACGCUAGCGGCAGGCCUAAUACAUGCAAGUCGAACGGAUAUAUGUUUUCGGAAUAUAUAUUAGUGGCGCACGGGUGAGUAACACGUACAUAACUUGCCCUCAAGGCGGGGGAUAGCCUUAGGGAAACUGAGAGUAACUACCCCAUAGAAUUAUUGGACGGCAUCGUUUGAUAAUUAAAACGUACGGUGGUUUGGGGAUAGAUGUGCGUCUGAUUAGCUAGUUGGUGAGGUAACUGCUCACCAAGGCGACGAUCAGUAGGGGGGCGUGAGAGCGUGGCCCCCCCACACGGGUACUGAGACACGGACCCGACUCCUACGGGAGGCAGCAGUAAGGAAUAUUGGUCAAUGGAGGGAACUCUGAACCAGCCAUGCCGCGUGAAGGAUGACGGCCCUCUGGGUUGUAAACUUCUUUUGGAUGGGGCGAAAAAACGGGAUUUAUCCUGGACUGACGGUACCAUCAGAAUAAGCACCGGCUAACUCCGUG
rnacentral:rRNA from 1 species